rnacentral:rRNA from 1 species
GAUGAACGCUAGCGGGAGGCCUAACACAUGCAAGCCGAGCGGUAUUGUUUCUUCGGAAAUGAGAGAGCGGCGUACGGGUGCGGAACACGUGUGCAACCUGCCUUUAUCUGGGGGAUAGCCUUUCGAAAGGAAGAUUAAUACUCCAUAAUAUAUUGAACGGCAUCGUUUAAUAUUGAAAGCUCCGGCGGAUAGAGAUGGGCACGCGCAAGAUUAGCUAGUUGGUGAGGUAACGGCUCACCAAGGCGAUGAUCUUUAGGGGGCCUGAGAGGGUGAUCCCCCACACUGGUACUGAGACACGGACCAGACUCCUACGGGAGGCAGCAGUGAGGAAUAUUGGUCAAUGGGUGCAAGCCUGAACCAGCCAUCCCGCGUGAAGGACGACUGCCCUAUGGGUUGUAAACUUCUUUUGUAUAGGGAUAAACCUACCCUCGUGAGGGUAGCUGAAGGUACUAUACGAAUAAGCACCGGCUAACUCCGUGCCAGCAGCCGCGGUAAUACGGAGGGUGCAAGCGUUAUCCGGAUUUAUUGGGUUUAAAGGGUCCGUAGGCGGACUUAUAAGUCAGUGGUGAAAGCCUGUCGCUUAACGAUAGAACUGCCAUUGAUACUGUAAGUCUUGAGUAUAUUUGAGGUAGCUGGAAUAAGUAGUGUAGCGGUGAAAUGCAUAGAUAUUACUUAGAACACCAAUUGCGAAGGGCAGUUUACCAAGAUAUAACUGACGCUGAGGGGGGAAAGCGUGGGGAGCGAACAGGAUUAGAUACCCUGGUAGUCCACGCCGUAAACGAUGCUAACUCGUUUUUGGGCUUUAGGGUUCAGAGACCAAGCGAAAGUGAUAAGUUAGCCACCUGGGGAGUACGCUCGCAAGAGUGAAACUCAAAGGAAUUGACGGGGGCCCGCACAAGCGGUGGAUUAUGUGGUUUAAUUCGAUGAUACGCGAGGAACCUUACCAAGACUUAAAUGGGAAUUGACAGCUUUAGAAAUAGAGCUUUCUUCGGACAAUUUUCAAGGUGCUGCAUGGUUGUCGUCAGCUCGUGCCGUGAGGUGUUAGGUUAAGUCCUGCAACGAGCGCAACCCCUGUCACUAGUUGCCAUCAUUCAGUUGGGGACUCUAGUGAGACUGCCUACGCAAGUAGAGAGGAAGGUGGGGAUGACGUCAAAUCAUCACGGCCCUUACGUCUUGGGCCACACACGUAAUACAAUGGCCGGUACAGAGGGCAGCUACACAGCGAUGUGAUGCAAAUCUCGAAAGCCGGUCUCAGUUCGGAUUGGAGUCUGCAACUCGACUCUAUGAAGCUGGAAUCGCUAGUAAUCGCGCAUCAGCCAUGGCGCGGUGAAUACGUUCCCGGGCCU